AAAGACAUCAAAGAUGUAAUAUGUUUACUAGCGAUCACUUGCAGUAAAUGGUUAACACGCUUUUACGUCCGUUUUGGUGAGCCCAGAAGGA